GACGAACGCUGGCGGCGUGCCUAAUACAUGCAAGUCGAACGCACAGUUUAAACCGUAGCUUGCUACACCAUAAACUGUGAGUUGCGAACGGGUGAGUAACGCGUAGGUAACCUGCCUGGUAGCGGGGGAUAACUAUUGGAAACGAUAGCUAAUACCGCAUAAUAUUGAUUAUUGCAUGAUAAUUGAUUGAAAGAUGCUAUUGCAUCACUACCAGAUGGACCUGCGUUGUAUUAGCUAGUAGGUGAGGUAACGGCUCACCUAGGCGACGAUACAUAGCCGACCUGAGAGGGUGAUCGGCCAAACUGGGACUGAGACACGGCCCAGACUCCUACGGGAGGCAGCAGUAGGGAAUCUUCGGCAAUGGACGAAAGUCUGACCGAGCAACGCCGCGUGAGUGAAGAAGGGUUUCGGAUCGUAAAGCUCUGUUGUAAGAGAAGAACGGGUGUGAGAGUGGAAAGUUCACACUGUGACGGUAUCUGACCAGAAAGGGACGGCUAACUACGUG
rnacentral:rRNA from 1 species